CCACAUGAGAAGUUCAGAUGCCCUAAAGCUGCCAUGAUACAGAAAACAAGCAGAGAGACCUCCUCGAGGAGCCCCACUCGCUUGAGCCAUCAGCUUUGGAGUCUUCCUAGCUGGGGCACCAGGCUUGUGUGUGAAAAAGCCUUCAAAAUGACCCCAGGCCCAGACACCAUUUGCUUAUAACCUCAUGAGACCCCAAACCACCCAGCUGAGCCACUCCCAAAUUCUUGAAUCACAGAAGCAUGAGAGAUAAGUGGUUAUCAUUAUUUUACGCUGCUAAAUUUUGGGGGGAUUUGCUGUACAGCAGUCAAUAACAAAUACACCCUCUCACUAAAUUAACAUCAGCCAGAUUCACCCACUUCAGUGCAUCAAGCUUUUCAAAACAUGUUAAGAUUUACAAGUCAGAAAUCUAUUUACGGGCUUCUAAAUUUUAUUCCCAUUUCUCCUAUUGAAUAGCAAAAGCCAAGACUCUCGUGCCAGCUUGAGAGGUAUGAAUAUGAAAAUUCACAACUCCCUGAAGCCUUUUCUGAGCUACCGAGAAUGUCACUUCAUCCACUGCCUGGCUGAGGAGGAAGGGAGGUGGAGAGGGACAGGGGCCACCGAGGGACUGUGGAAGUCGUUAGCAGAUGCCUUCCUGAAGCAAAAAGCCAAAAAGGCAAAUCCUGUUAGUUUGCCUGAAUAUGUUUCCUGCAACUCCCUUGUCAUUUUGAUUGAGAACUCCCUUGAUUUCUGCUUUUGACCCUAGUCAAACUGAUUCUUGAAUCCUAUUUUGUCUGGAGGCUUGGUAAACUAUCAGAGUGCCACCUGAGAACCCAGAGACCAGCAAGUUAACGAUAACACAGAUAUCUAGAAAAGUGAUUCAUCAUUGUAUGAAAGCACAUGAGGAACAGAGGUUUCAGCUGAAGACAUAUCUAAAAUGCUCUGAAAUGGUUCAGCACAAGUCUUUCUAGUCUCUUCUCAAAGGCAGGAAAUGAUGCUAUUUGACACUGGUAAUAGAGGACGAACCAAAGGUGUACCUCAGUCCUAUCCCAUGGACUCAUGUCUUCACCGAGACCCUCCAGACAUCAUGGAAUGCCCAUCACCAGAUUUUUGUGUCCCCUAGAAUGAUCCCUUUUAGUGGAAGAAGAAGAAGGAAGAGGAGGAGAAAGAGGGGAGGAAGAAAUGUUCUUAGCCUUAAAGCCUAAUCAGCUUGUUUUUCUGUAGCAUCUUACUGAAAGCAUAGUCCAUCAGUCACGGAAGAGCAUAUCACAGUUUCUAUCACUCCCUCUGAGAUUCCUGUUACUUGACUUCUGUGUAAGUUUCAGUUUGAUCUCUCCCGGUGUAACAACUGGCAUUAACUCAUAUUGCUGUAAUGAAAAAUUCUAAGGAGCAAAUAAGGGGGAUUCGGUCUUUGAAGCUGUGUUGUAUGGUAAGUAACUUUCUAGUAAAUCAUGCUAUUGCAGUGGAAGAGCUUGGAGGGAAGACAAGCCCCGAGUUUCAUGGUUAUGUAUAAUUCAAAACCAGAAAAUCAGAACACUCAGAGAUAACAUUCUUUUGGAUGGACGGAAGAGUUUGGUUUGUUAAUGGAUCCCACAGUACAACUUGAAGAAGAGAAAAAUUAUUUUCUCAAAAAUCUUUAAAAUCACAGAUUUCUGGUCAAAUUGGCAGCACUUCCUAGUUUUAAGGGUUGAAUUUACCUGAGUAAAACGACUCCGUGCAAUUUGUAUAAUUAUUCCACAGCUAAUUGCAGCCACACCGUGGAAGUCACACCUCCACAGAAAAAUACACAGAUUCACAUCAUUAGGACAUCUUACUGAAACCUGACAUUCUAGGUGAGAUUUUUUUCCCCUCUCCCUGCUUCUC